GGAAUUGUUCGCAAUGGGCGCAAGCCUGACGACGCAACGCCGCGUGGAGGAUGAAGAUCUUCGGGUCGUAAACUCCUGUCGAGUGGGAAGAAUAGUCUCGGGGUAAAUAUCCCCGGGGCCUGACGGUACCACUAAAGGAAGCCCCGGCUAACUCCGUGCCAGCAGCCGCGGUAAUACGGGGGGGGCAAGCGUUGUUCGGAAUUACUGGGCGUAAAGGGCUCGUAGGCGGCCAACUAAGUCAUACGUGAAAUCCCUCAGCUUAACUGGGGAACUGCGUGUGAUACUGGAUGGCUUGGAUUUGGGAGAGGGAUGCGGAAUUCCAGGUGUAGCGGUGAAAUGCGUAGAUAUCUGGAGGAACACCGGUGGCGAAGGCGGCAUCCUGGACCAAUAUUGACGCUGAGGAGCGAAAGCCAGGGGAGCAAAC
rnacentral:rRNA from 1 species